rnacentral:rRNA from 1 species
AUACGGAGGGGGUUAGCGUUGUUCGGAAUUACUGGGCGUAAAGCGCACGUAGGCGGACUGGAAAGUUGGGGGUGAAAUCCCGGGGCUCAACCCCGGAACUGCCUCCAAAACUUCCAAUCUAGAGAUCGAGAGAGGUGAGUGGAAUUCCAAGUGUAGAGGUGAAAUUCGUAGAUAUUUGGAGGAACACCAGUGGCGAAGGCGGCUCACUGGCUCGAUACUGACGCUGAGGUGCGAAAGCGUGGGGAGCAAACGGGAUUAGAAACCCUAGUAGUCC